rnacentral:rRNA from 1 species
UACGUAGGGUGCGAGCGUUAAUCGGAAUUACUGGGCGUAAAGUGUGCGCAGGCGGCAGAGCAAGUCGAGUGUGAAAGCCCCGGGCUUAACUUGGGAAUUGCGCUCGAAGCUACUUUGCUGGAGUGUGGCAGAGGAAGGUGGAAUUCCACGUGUAGCGGUGAAAUGCGUAGAGAUGUGGAGGAACACCAAUGGCGAAGGCAGCCUUCUGGGCCAACACUGACGCUCAUGCACGAAAGCGUGGGGAGCAAACAGG